rnacentral:lncRNA from 1 species
AAAAGGAAAAAACCUAAAUGACCAGAACACUAAACGCUGUGUUUAAUAACAUAGCCAAACAUUAAUAGAACUGAAAUCAUACCGAAUAAUUUAAAAAUCAACGCGAAAACACAAUCACCAAACCAAACCUAGACGACUGUGGGCCCCAUUAUCAUUAAAAAACGCUGAUGUGGGCACUCUCAGAAGAGAGGAAAGUGUCCCAUUAUAUAUAAGAUUUCUUGAAUUGAAU